UACAGAGGUCUCAAGCGUUGUUCGGAUUCAUUGGGCGUAAAGGGUGCGUAGGCGGCGCGGUAAGUCGGAUGUGAAAUCUCGGAGCUUAACUUCGAAACUGCAUUCGAUACUGCCGUGCUUGAGGACUGGAGAGGAGACUGGAAUUUACGGUGUAGCGGUGAAAUGCGUAGAUAUCGGGAGGAACACCAAUGGCGAAGGCAGCUCGCUGGGACGGUACUGACGCUGAGACGCGAAAGCGUGGGGAGCAAACAGG
rnacentral:rRNA from 1 species